AGAAAGAGUGUCACUUUGAAACCCUCUUUGACGUGUUUCCACAUGAAAGGCUUCGACAAACAAGAGAGAGGUGACCGUUUUGUAGCCCCACCACCUUUCCUGUGCCAAAAAUGCCAACUGUAACAACAAAGAGUGGCAGAUGCCAAGGGAAUCCCAGAUGAAUGACCUCAGUGAAGCCGGCCUACCAAAGAGAAGCAAAUAUUUACCCUGCGUGUUUGAACCCAUGGCGCGGUGCCACGGCUGCCCCUCAGAGCGCAUACCAGCCCGAUAGUCUUACUCGUCCUCCAACUUUACUCCCUAGGUACACCCUAUAUGAAGCCAGAAAAAUCUUCUUGAUUUUCAACCAUCGCAUCAUAGAGCGGAACAUGACGGAAAGGGGUCCAGCACAUCCCAGAGCUCAGCCGCCCUGAGACCGAAGUCUCCUUAUGGGACACUGACUUCAAAGUCCAUUUUGGAAGGACUGAUCUGAAGAACGCGAACCGGUCUCUGAUAACCAACAGAGCAGUCGGGAUCAGUGGAGAAGCCACCAAAUGAGAUCUCUUGGGCAUCAAACACACACAAUACAUAAAAUAUGUGCAUAUCAUAUUAAUGUGCUGUUCUAUUCUUCUGUUGAGGUGAAGCUGGUUGGAAUAUGCUGGCUGUCUUGACUGUGCAUGAUUUACUCGAUAGUAAAUAGUUUUACAUGGAAAACAUAUAUUGGCUCUAGUUUUGCUCGACUCUUUGACUCAGACUCUCCUCUCGGAAGAAUUUGCAGGUCAUACCAGGAUGCAAAACUGCACAUCUGACCCACCUGUGCACUCCAUGACUCCAUAACCCAUCAUCCUCCAUCAGAUUAGCAUGUCCACUCCAAGAAAUGAGCUCUCAAAAAUCAACAUUUAAUCCCUCAGGAGAACAACAACAACUGCAGUGUGGUACAAUAUAGAACAGAUGUGCAAGAUCUUAACCUGGGACAAGA